rnacentral:sRNA from 1 species
GUAGCUCCAUGACCCCGGUCUGAGGGGCCGUUGAGGGCCGGGCGAGGGCGCUGAUGAGCCGCCCAAAGGGGGAACCUCCGCCCUUUAGGGCGGGGAGGAGGUCAGAUAAGACC